GCGGGUUGCCUGCGGACUCCACUACAGCCAGCUACUCAAGGCAGGUGGGCAGGAGAGCAGCGUAAUUACCCCACUGGGUGGAGCUUGGCACCCUCCUCCUUCUAGAAAAGGGAGAUGGCCUGCCCAAGUAGACGGGCCAGCAGCAACCUCAUCAGGGUUGCAUGUGACUGGCCAGGACGCAGCAGCAGCAGCAGCAACAGCACUAAGAGGGAGACCAUCAGGGCUUGCAGGAGGGCGGAGCCCCAGUUCCUGCGCUGGGCCCUAGUCAGCCCUCAACCCCUGUGGCUAGCUUCCUACCCGUCCUGACCUGCUCCCAACACCUUCAGCCACGUGCAGAGGACAUCCCAGACCCCCAAGGGUUCCCUGCCUCUGCUGGCCCCUUUUUUCUGCCUCCAUACUGGCCUUCGACCUGGCCCUUAACCCUCUCAGCUUCUGCCACUGUAGCCUCUCUGACCAACCAAACACACACACACACACACACACACACACACACACACACACACACACCACAGGCUUUUUAGAUACAGAGUGGGCAAAUGGACGGAUGAAAGUGGGGUGUGACCUGGAGUCCCGCAGGUCCCCUCUGCGGGCAGGAGGCACUCAUGGCCUUGUAAGGGAAAGUGCGGACGACGGUGGGAUCGUCACCGCCACCGGCACUGCCUGAGUCACUUGGUUAUCCCUGGCUGUGGACGUCAUCUGAGGAUCACUCUCCAAAUCCGGGACAACUAGGGACGGAGAUGCAGAGAAGCCCAGUGCCUGAAGCCACUCAACACCCACACAACCAUCACUGAGUCCCUGCUGCACAGGCAGCAGGAUGUGACUGUGAAUAAGGACCAGCGAUUAGUCUGACUGCUACACUGCCAACCAGCAUCCCAGCCAGCAGAGAAGAGCAGCAGCCCUGCUGUCCCCAGAACCCAAGGGAACCCAGCCUAUGGCAGACGUGGCUGGUGGCGUGCGCUGGACCGGAAGAAGGGAGCUGGCAGUAGCUCCGAGAGUUGAUUGGCCACAGGUUAGCUUCGGCACCCAGAUGUGACUGGAGGCGGUGACAUGCCCUGGAAACCGUUUAUUUCCGGAGGGUGUGCGGACUCAGGAAAGUUACCUCCCCAUCUCUGAUCCUGUAAGAUGAGGGUUAACAAACGUUGAUAUCUGGGGCUUUGUAGGACCUAACAGGGUGACAAGGUGUGAGCUUGGGGUCUUCUGCCGAUCACACACCAGCUGCUGUCCUUCUGGGUGGCUAAUAAAUUCGUGAGCGUCCCUGACCAA